rnacentral:piRNA from 1 species
UGUUGUACAGCACCAAGCACUAAAAUUG